rnacentral:rRNA from 1 species
AUUGAACGCUGGCGGCAUGCCUUACACAUGUAAGUCGAACGCGAAAGGGGGCAACCCUGAGUAGAGUGGCGAACGGGUGAGUAAUACAUCGGAACAUACCCAGUAGUGGGGGAUAACCAGUCGAAAGAUUGGCUAAUACCGCAUACGACCUACGGGUGAAAGCGGGGGACCGCAAGGCCUCGCGCCAUUGGAUUGGCCGAUGUCCGAUUAGCUAGUUGGCGGGGUAAAAGCCCACCAAGGCGACGAUCGGUAGCUGGUCUGAGAGGAUGAUCAGCCACACUGGGACUGAGACACGGCCCAGACUCCUACGGGAGGCAGCAGUGGGGAAUUUUGGACAAUGGGCGCAAGCCUGAUCCAGCCAUGCCGCGUGUGUGAAGAAGGCCUUCGGGUUGUAAAGCACUUUCGGCCGGGACGAAAUCGCUCGGGUUAACACCCAGGGUGGAU